UACAGAGGUCUCAAGCGUUGUUCGGAUUCAUUGGGCGUAAAGGGUGUGUAGGUGGCGCCGUAAGUCGGGUGUGAAAUUUCGGAGCUUAACUCCGAAACUGCAUUCGAUACUGCGGUGCUUGAGGACUGGAGAGGAGACUGGAAUUCAUGGUGUAGCAGUGAAAUGCGUAGAGAUCAUGAGGAAGACCAGUGGCGAAGGCGGCAUCCUGGACCAACACUGACGCUGAGUGAGCGAAAGCCAGGGGAGCAAACGGG
rnacentral:rRNA from 1 species